CCUACGGGUGGCAGCAGUGAGGAAUAUUGGUCAAUGGACGCAAGUCUGAACCAGCCAUGCCGCGUGCAGGAAGACGGCUCUAUGAGUUGUAAACUGCUUUUGUACGAGGGUAAACGCAGAUACGCGUAUCUGUCUGAAAGUAUCGUACGAAUAAGGAUCGGCUAACUCCGUGCCAGCAGCCGCGGUAAUACGGAGUAGCCAAGCGUUAGCCGGAUUUAUUUGGGUUUAAGGGUGCGUAGGCGGUUUGCUAAGUUAGAGGUGAAAUACCGGUUGUCAAACCCGGAACUGCCUUUAAUACUGUUGAACUAGAGAGUAGUUGCGGUAGGCGGAAUGUAUGGUGUAGCGGUGAAAUGCGUAGAGAUCAUACAGAACACCGAUUGCGAAGGCAGCUUACCAAACUAUAUCUGACGUUGAGGCACGAAAGCGUGGGUAGCAAACAGGAUUAGAUACCCUUGUAGUC
rnacentral:rRNA from 1 species